rnacentral:rRNA from 1 species
AUGGAUGAGGUCACAAGGGAUAUACAAGGAGAUAUCCAAUGGUGUAUGCUCUUUGCGGAUGAUGUGGUGCUAGUUGACGAUAGUCGGACGGGGGUAAAUAGGAAGUUAGAGUUAUGGAGACAAACCUUGGAAUCGAGAGGGUUUAGGCUUAGUAGAACUAAAACCGAGUACAUGAUGUGCGGUUUCAGUACUACUAGGUGUGAGGAGGAGGUUAGCCUUGAUGGCCAGGUGGUACCUCAGAAGGACACCUUUCGGUAUUUGGGGUCAAUGCUGCAGGAGGAUGGGGGUAUUGAUGAAGAUGUGAACCAUUGA